GCCUGAUUAAACUUACCCUAUAAGAGAAUUUUCGGCCACAAACUGAGCACGAAAAAGGUUUCUCGCCAGUGUGGAUUUUUGUAUGCGUUUUCAAAUAUCCCUUCUGAGAGAAUUUUUGCCCACAAACUGAGCAUGAAAAGGGUUUCUCACCAGUGUGAAUUUUUGUAUGCGUUUUCAAAGAUCC